GACUAAAAGGCGUUCAGGGACUUCGGCUCGACUCUCCCACCCUUUGUGAACGUACCUCUGUUGCUUUGGCGGCUCCGGCCGCCAAAGGACCUUCAAACUCCAGUCAGUAAACGCAGACGUCUGAUAAACAAGUUAAUAAACUAAAACUUUCAACAACGGAUCUCUUGGUUCUGGCAUCGAUGAAGAACGCAGCGAAAUGCGAUAAGUAAUGUGAAUUGCAGAAUUCAGUGAAUCAUCGAAUCUUUGAACGCACAUUGCGCCCCUUGGUAUUCCGGGGGGCAUGCCUGUUCGAGCGUCAUUACAACCCUCAAGCUCUGCUUGGAAUUGGGCACCGUCCUCACUGCGGACGCGCCUCAAAGACCUCGGCGGUGGCUGUUCAGCCCUCAAGCGUAGUAGAAUACACCUCGCUUUGGAGCGGUUGGCGUCGCCCGCCGGACGAACCUUCUGAACUUUUCUCAAGGUUGACCUCGGAUCAGGUAGGGAUACCCGCUGAACUUAAGCAUAUCAAUAACCGGAGG
rnacentral:rRNA from 1 species